rnacentral:rRNA from 1 species
AUUGAACGCUGGCGGCAGGCCUAACACAUGCAAGUCGGACGGUAGCACAGAGGAGCUUGCUCCUCGGGUGACGAGUGGCGGACGGGUGAGUAAUGUCUGGGGAUCUGCCCGAUAGAGGGGGAUAACCACUGGAAACGGUGGCUAAUACCGCAUAACGUCGCAAGACCAAAGAGGGGGACCUUCGGGCCUCUCACUAUCGGAUGAACCCAGAUGGGAUUAGCUAGUAGGCGGGGUAACGGCCCACCUAGGCGACGAUCCCUAGCUGGUCUGAGAGGAUGACCAACCACACUGGAACUGAGACACGGUCCAGACUCCUACGGGAGGCAGCAGUGGGGAAUAUUGCACAAUGGGCGCAAGCCUGAUGCAGCCAUGCCGCGUGUAUGAAGAAGGCCUUCGGGUUGUAAAGUACUUUCAGCGGGGAGGGAGGCGAUGUGGUUAAUAACCGCAUUGAUUGACGUUACCCGCAGAAGAAGCACCGGCUAACUCCGUGCCAGCAGCCGCCGUAA